UGCAUCUGCAGCCCAUGAGGAAGAGAACCUCCGGGGGCAGGGAGGUUCGACUCGAGCGAAGCGAGAGAACGUUGCGCCAGCAACGGCCCGCAGGGCGAGCCACGAAGUGGCGAGUAAUCCUCUAUCACCGACC
rnacentral:sRNA from 1 species